rnacentral:rRNA from 1 species
AUUGAACGCUGGCGGCAGGCCUAACACAUGCAAGUCGAGCGAGAGGCGGACGGGUGCGUAAUGUAUGGGGACUGCCCGCGAGAGGGGGGGAAAUACUGGAAAAGGUAGCUAAUACCGCGUACUAUCGGAGUACCCAUAUGGGAUUAGCUAGUGGGUGGGGUAAAGGCUCACCUAGGCGACGAUCCCUAGCUGGUCUGAGAGGAUGAUCAGCCACACUGGGACUGAGACACGGCCCAGACUCCUACGGAGGCAGCAGUGGGGAAUAUUGCACAAUGGGCGCAAGCCUGAUACAGCCAUGCCGCGUGUAUGAAGAAGGCCUUAGGGUUGUAAAGUACUUUCAGCCGGGAGGCGUUACCGGCAGAAGAAGCACCGGCUAACUCCGUGCCAGCAGCCGCGGUAAUAC